CUGAGAUGGCGGCGGUGGCGGCUCCUCAGUUCGCAGCGGCGGCGCAGGUCAUUCCCCGCCCGUCGGAGGCGGCUUCUCAGGUCGCGGCGGCGGCGCAGGGGUGAGGCAUUUUGGAAGGAGUGCGGCCGCACUUGAAGGUGACGGUGACGGCCUUCCUCAACAGAGGCGCCAUCCGGGUACGUAUCUUGUGUUCUCAUCGGCAUCGUCGCAAGUAGGCACUAUUAGAGUUCGGUUCUGAUUAACUUUGCAUUAGAAGAGUGGAUAGGAAACAGGGAUAGAAAGUUUACUGGUAAUCUUAAAACAGGGAUAGGAAAAUCAUUCACAUCCAUCCCUGGAAUGCAGUAGAAGAGUGGAUACAGUUCUCUAACAAUAGUCGCAUGCUCAAGCUUAGGUGCACCAUGAAGGAUGUGUCCAUAAUCACAAGAAUAAGCCGUAAUCAUCAACUCUAACUUCAUACGUGUUCCAAUGAUUUAAAGGAAUGCACAACAGUGGUAUUUUCAUGCAGCUUUGUGUGAUGUAUUAUAUAUGUAUGCGGGCCUUUUAGAGUCUGCGGGACAGGAUCCGAUGAAUGUUUCUGCAUACCAGGUCCGAGACCAGCUUCCUCGAGGUGUUGUAAUGUUCGACUUAUACGCAAUGUGCUGACUAAAUAAAUACAGAGACAAAAGGUGAGCAAUGCAUUUCUCUUGAUUACCAGCACCAAAAAUGUCAUGAGUACAUAUUUACAUGCCUGAGAAAUUGCACUUGCACUGCAUACACACAUUAAGAUGACUGCAAUAUCUGGAAUAGUGAGCAAUUGCGCACGAAGAUGAUCUUAGAUAAUUAUCUAAUGGUAAUACUGGUGGUGUUUAUAUAUGCCUUCUAGCCACGGAUCCUCUAAUUCAAGUUAGGGAAAAGAAGUUGCAUCUUUUGAGGCUUAUCAUGUUAAUUGCAGUGCUGGCCUGCUGGGUACUAUUUUUAUAGGACUAUGCGCUCUUUGCAUAAUAUAGUAAAGAUAUUUUAGAGGACUUUCAUCCCAAAAGGAUUUCUCAGAUAAUGACUCUCAUCGUCUAUGACUAUUCCUUUUUUUUUACAGCACUGCACAAAGAAUUUCUCAGAUAAAUGUGGCAAGGUACCUUUGGUUCGGUGUUUAAAGGAUUGCUCCGAGACUCGAAACUAGUAGCUGCCCACUAGGUUCAAGGAAUGAAACAAGGAGAGAAUUAUUGGAAAAGAAGAAACAAGGAGAGAAGCAAUUUCACAUUGGGGUGAGGACACAAGGAGAAUGAGUCUCAUAGGCGAACGCUGGAAUUCUUUGUUGAAAUCUUACAGGACAUUCAAGAUGUCAGCUGUCCGCAACAUGUGGAGGAACUUCGACAACAACCAGUGGAGGGACGAUACAAUAAUACUAAUCGUGGAAAUAAACUUGUCAUGGCAUUCCUAGUAGGAUGACACUGUAAAUUUGUAAAGUUCACGCUGUAUGAAGCAAUAUACUCAGCAAUUAGUAUGCUCAUUUACCACUAUGCAAUACACAAAUAUCUUUGUUAUUUUUUCGGAU